rnacentral:lncRNA from 8 species
AUGAGAGCGCAUUUGGGAUACUGUAAUCUAUCGAAAAUACGGGUUAGCAGCUACCAGAACCACACCCUGAAAGUUAUAUACUUGCUUGCGAAAGACUUGACUUUCUGGCUGCUAGGUGGAACAGCGUUUAUAUCAGCCCUCUGCAAAGUCUUAUUUGCUGUGGAUGGAGCCCCAUCUGGCGGACAAAAUCAGUACUGCACCAGCGGACGUGAAAGAAGACUGGUUUAAAAAAAAGAAUCCAAGAUGGCGACUUUGUGUGGUGGAGAAAGCGGGCACUCCUGUGGAUGUUUGGUACCCUCUAGUGGUCAUGUUGGGUAAGUGCAUCAGGACAGCAGAACUAAACCCAGACCAAUGUAGACAGUAAAUCACUUAUAUAUAUAUAUAUAUAUAUAUACCCAUACUAAACCACACCAUAUAAUUGCAAACAGGCCGUGAGUUAAUACAUUUGUGACAGUUAAUUGUGACAACACGGGGGAAAACGACUGCUCCCUCCUUGAGGACCAGAACCCCCAUGACUCAUUCAUUCCUUCAUUAGAUGUAAAAUUCAACUUGUUUUUGUGUUUUACACUAUUCCCGUGUUAAAGCUAUUCGUUAUCCUGCCCAGGCUUGUUUCUGUGUGAGUUUGGCAACCUAGAUUGAGAUUUAAUAUUUUAAAAAGCACCGACAGUAUCAACAUUUAGAAUGUUAUUUUAUUGGAACAUUUGGUGCUACUGUACAUGUAGUUUAAAGGGAUUUUCCGGUACUUUGAAUAGUUUUUAGCCAGUAGUUCUGAAAGUAGCGCUCAUGAGCCAAAAGUUGUCCCCGACAAUUGCGUACUACAUCACAUGUGUGCACCACGUCAUUGCGGUCUCUCUCGCUCUUCUCUGAUUCUUGCUAGCUGUCACUCAAGUAGCGAGGGGCUGAACUCAUUGACUGGAACACGAAUUGAUAGGGGGCUGGCCCACGUGGGGGGAAAAUCUAGGGAAAAUGGAAUGGCACAGCUUCCAGAAAACAGUCGCUUUCAAACUAGGGAUUUUGUGGCUAAUUGAGGUAAGGCAGUAAUUCUCAUAGAUUAUGCAUGUGUGAGCUACACUGUCCAUAAUUUAUUGUAUUAGUCAUCUCAGGGAUGCUACUUGAAAACAUCAGAGAAGCAAUUUCCAGUUUUGUUCAUCACUAAACAGCCAAUAGACAUGAAAUCAUAAAAUUACACGAAAACUGUGUAGGACAUUUAAGUGAUAAUGCCCGAGAAGCCAGUGAUUGGAGGAUAUAUUGGCAUGGGUGUUCGACUCGGGCCGGCAAACCGUCCCAAUAUAUCUGCCGAACACUGGCUUCGAGGACAUUAUCACUUUUAUACAACGGGUUACAAACAUAUUCAAAUAAUGUUAGACAUAUUUUCAUUAUAAAUGUUAUUUUGAUUAAUUUAUUCGUACUAUUUCAUCCUUCCACAAGAUAUAGUCCCGACACAAAUCUAGGGUUGCUAGAGACGCGACCCAGUCAUUCGUUCUUUUUGUUCUGUAUCUAUGGACGCGACCCACUCUUUUUGUUCUGUACCGACGCCCACUCACUGACAUAAUCUCCGUCGCAUCUAAACCAGCAUUGACCAGUUUCUGGACUGUCGUGGUCCUGAUGCUGUGAUUUGUGUAUGUAGUUGUUCCCGCUGCCCUGCAGAUCUUGGGUAGAAGUGCUGCCAGAUAGUGCCCCCACCCAAUGGACAUUUAUCAUGUUAGUUGUAAAUAUGUCAUUAUUAUUAUGUUACUAUUGUAUGAUUCAGUUCCCUUUGACCUGUACUGUAGUAGCUUAAGAUAUUCACUGUACCCUGCAUUUACAUCUGCAACCCUGCGCAUGUGACUAAUAAACACUCUCUGUGGCACUGCUAGGACUCGCCACUAGAGCGCAGCAACAGACAAUAAAAUUGCAGUGAUCAGUUGUAGGCUGUUUUCUGUCAAUGUUAAUGCAUUUGAUGGUAUGUUGCUGCCUUCUAGUGGCAAGUCCUGGCAGUGCCACAGAUGUGUGUGUGUGUGUGUGUGUGUGUGUGUUUUAUUGCAGGUCCAAUUGGCAUGUAAAAAUGUGUAUUGUGUUUCUCUGGUCUAAAUCUCAUGUAGAUCACGAUGUAACAGAAAGACUAAAAACCAGCAGACACUCAAGCCUAGAGUAGUUGACUUUGCUUCAUAUGCUAACAGCCUGUUUAGCUGGUUGGGCCAGACUUCCCUAGCAGCUGUGUGGUGGAGUGAGUGGCAUGAGGUGUGGCCUUCUGUCUGUGAAUUGGCAAGAGCCAGUUGUGAUAUGUAAAUGACCUGUUGUCUCAAGGUGUGAGUAGGUAAGGCUCCAUAGCUCAGUGGUUAGAGCACUGGUCUUGUAAACCAGGGGUCGCGAGUUCAAUUCUCGCUGGGGCCUUGACUAAAGGGUCACAUGUUUUAAUCCAGGUCAGUACAACCCCGAUGUGUGUUCAAUUCUGCUCCCAAUGUAUACAUACCUUGUGAAGAAUUAUGUUGUUGUUGUAGUAGCUUAUGUCUCGUGUCAACAGAACAGCCAGCACAGAAAUGACAUCUAUCAGGUUAACAUGUUACCAUUUAACACCAACACCCAGAAGAACAUCCAGAAGAGAAUUUUUGUGGCGAGUUACUGGGUUUUAUGGCUUCAGUCAUGGCUCCAUAGCUCAAUGGUUAGCGCAAUGUUCUUGUAAACCAGGGGGUUGUGAGUUCAGAUCACGCUGGGGCCUUCCUUGAGGGGUCAUAUGUUUUGCCCUGGCUGACGUGUGCUCCAGCAGCACUACACUGCCUACGUGACAACCUGUGUAGCCUAACGUGCAGUCUUGUCUACACAUUGCAUUGGAGUAAAACAAUGUGCGUAUUAACAACAUACAACUGUUAUUUUGCUUCUCAAUGAUCAUUCAACGCCGCACAAUUUGAUGGACAGACAGGACAUCAUUGAAAUUCGCCAGAGUAGCCUACUGUGCCACCUGUGGGCAGAUAACAAACAGAUAUUUUAUUAACAUCUUCAAUGCCUGGAUCGGGAGCCGGGGUGGGGCGUGUGUGGAGCUUUGUCCCCGGGGGAAGGGCCUCGCUUGAGAGACCAAUGCAAUCAAUGUUGACAUAUGAGAUGAAUGUGUGGAAUCUGUGGAUGUCGUUGUAUUUGAUCAUGUCACCACUACAGAUUUGUUUUGUUUCUGCAUUUUAUUUUCAUUGAUCUUUUUUCUGGCAGAGAUCAAUGUAUUAUGGUAUAUGGCCGUAGGAAAGCAGUCCUACUUGAGCAUUUGUUUCACUCUCCCCUCGUUAGUACGUCCAACCGGCCUCACAAACGCAGACCACGUGUAACCACGCCAGCCCAGGACCUCCACAUCCGGCUUCUUCACCUGUGGGAUCGUCUGAGAUCAGCCACCCGGACAGCUGAUGAAAAUGUGGGUUUGCAGAUCCAAAGAAUUUCUACAUAAACUGUCAGAAACCGUCUCAGGGAAGCUCAUCUGCGUGCUCAUCAUCCUCACCAGGGUCUUGACCUGACUGCAGUUCGGCAUUGUAACCAACUUCAUUGGGCAAAUGCUCACCUUUGAUGGCCACUGGCACACUGGAAAAGUGUGCUCUUUUAUUUUUUUCUAAGUUAUCUGUGACCAACAGAUGCAUGUCUGUAUUCCCAGUCAUGUGAAAUCCAUAGAUUCCAUUUAUUUAGAGAUUGAGCAUGAUUAAUGCAAAAGUAAUGUCCCCUAACCCCCAGUCAGAAGGGUGCAAGCUGUGAUUAAUGAAAUGCCAAAGGUAAUAUGGAGUUGUGUGGAGAAAUGCAGUAUGUGCAAAUGUUUUCUUAUAUAAACAUUUUACAUGCAGUUUGUUAUAUGUGUAUAUAGCUUGUCCUGAAUAACAAAGUAGUUUGCACGUGAGUGAAUUGUAACUAGUGGUCUAUGCAAGAUAAACAUAAUACAAAAGAGAAGG